CUAUCAACACCGGUUCUUGUACGAUCACUGUAGUUAAGCAACGUCGGGCCUGGUCAGUACCUAGACGGGUUACCACUUGGGAAUAACCAGGUGCUGUAAG